UACGUAGGGUGCAAGCGUUAAUCGGAAUUACUGGGCGUAAAGCGUGCGCAGGCGGUUUUGUAAGUCAGAUGUGAAAUCCCCGGGCUUAACCUGGGAAUGGCAUUGGAAACUGGCGGGCUUGAGUGUGGCAGAGGGGGGUGGAAUUCCGCGUGUAGCAGUGAAAUGCGUAGAGAUGCGGAGGAACACCGAUGGCGAAGGCAGCCCCCCUGGGCUAACACUGACGCUCAGGCACGAAAGCGUGGGGAGCAAACAGG
rnacentral:rRNA from 1 species